rnacentral:tRNA from 1 species
GGGUUGUAGCUCAGUGUAUCGAGCUUGCCUAGCACUUGUGAGGCACUGGGUUCCAUCCUCAACACCACAUAUAAAUAAAUAGAAUAAAGGUAUUAUGUCCAUGUACCAUGUAAAAAAUAUUAAAAAAAAAAAAAAUCAGGGCUAUGUUGGUAGCUCAAAGCCCUGGGUUCAAUCCCCAGCACCACCCA